CGGUGAUGUCUCCUUACCGCUAUCAAGGGAGGCACUCGGCUGUGCUGUGGGUGCAUCGUUCACCUUAGACGCGGGUCGUCAAUGGUGCGGCGUGAGGACGGGUUUGAUGCCCA
rfam:Clostridium ultunense Esp genomic scaffold, CTLT_3033